rnacentral:rRNA from 1 species
AUGGUUAAGUGACGAAGCGUAUACGGUGGAUGCCUUGGCAGUUAGAGGCGAUGAAGGACGUGUAAGUCUGCGAAAAGCUGUGGUGAGCCGACAAAAUGCAUUUGAGCCACAGAUGUCCGAAUGGGGAAACCCACCUGUUUACAGGUAUCGUUCUGAAUACAUAGGUAACGAGGCGAACGAGGGGAACUGAAACAUCUAAGUACCUUAGGAAAAGAAAUCAAACGAGAUUCCCCUAGUAGCGGCGAGCGAACGGGGAACAGCCCUUAAGCUGUUUAGUGUGUAGUGGAAUCCUUUGGGAAGAGGAGCGAUACAGGGUGAUAGCCCCGUACACAAAGCGUGCUUUACAGUGAAAUCGAGUAGGUCGGGACACGUGUUAUCUUGACUGAAUAUGGGGGGACCAUCCUCCAAGGCUAAAUACUCCUAACUGACCGAUAGUGAACCAGUACCGUGAGGGAAAGGCGAAAAGAACCCCUGUGAGGGGAGUGAAAUAGAACCUGAAACCGUAUACGUACAAGCAGUGGGAGCCCUUCGGGGUGACUGCGUACCUUUUGUAUAAUGGGUCAGCGACUUAUAUUUAGUAGCAAGGUUAAGCGAAUAGCGGAGCCGUAGCGAAAGCGAGUGUUAACUGCGCGUUUAGUUGCUAGGUAUAGACCCGAAACCCGGUGAUCUAGCCAUGAGCAGGUUGAAGGUUGAGUAACAUCAACUGGAGGACCGAACCCACUGACGUUGAAAAGUCAGGGGAUGACUUGUGGCUGGGGGUGAAAGGCCAAUCAAACCGGGAGAUAGCUGGUUCUCCCCGAAAUCUAUUUAGGUAGAGCCUCGGACGAAUUCCAUUGGGGGUAGAGCACUGUUAAGGCUAGGGGGUCAUCCCGACUUACCAACCCUUUGCAAACUCCGAAUACCAAUGAGAACUAUCCGGGAGACACACGGCGGGUGCUAACGUCCGUCGUGGAGAGGGAAACAACCCAGACCGCCAGCUAAGGUCCCAAAAUAUUGCUAAGUGGGAAACGAUGUGGGAAGGCACAGACAGCUAGGAGGUUGGCUUAGAAGCAGCCACCCUUUAAAGAAAGCGUAAUAGCUCACUAGUCGAGUCGGCCUGCGCGGAAGAUGUAACGGGGCUAAGCAAUAUACCGAAGCUGCGGCAGCAUGUUUACAUGCUGGGUAGGGGAGCGUUGUGUAAGUGGAUGAAGGUGAGUUGUAAAGCUUGCUGGACAUAUCACAAGUGCGAAUGCUGACAUGAGUAACGAUAAUGGGAGUGAAAAACUCCCACGCCGGAAGACCAAGGUUUCCUGUCCCAUGCUAAUCAGGGCAGGGUAAGUCGGCCCCUAAGGCGAGGCAGAAAUGCGUAGUCGAUGGGAAACGGAUUAAUAUUUCCGUACUUAUAUAAUCAGUGAUGGAGGGACGGAGAAGGCUAGGCAAGCUUGGCGUUGGUUGUCCAAGUGAAAGGAGUAGGCGAAAUUAGGUAAAUCCGGUUUAAGCGAGACCGAGACGAGCUCCCAAGGGAGUGAAGUUGUUGAUGCCCUGCUUCCAGGAAAAGCUUCUAAACUUAUGAUUAUAURAACCGUACCCCAAACCGACACAGGUGGUCAGGUAGAGAAUACUAAGGCGCUUGAGAGAACUCGGGUGAAGGAACUCGGCAAAAUUGUACCGUAACUUCGGGAGAAGGUACGCCUCUGUUUGUGAACACUUCGCGUGGUAAGCAAAUGGAGGCCGCAGUGACCAGGUGGCUGGGACUGUUUAUUAAAAACACAGCACUCUGCAAACUCGUAAGAGGACGUAUAGGGUGUGACACCUGCCCGGUGCCGGAAGGUUAAUUGAUGGGGUUAGUCCUCGGACGAAGCUCUUGAUCGAAGCCCCGGUAAACGGCGGCCGUAACUAUAACGGUCCUAAGGUAGCGAAAUUCCUUGUCGGGUAAGUUCCGACCUGCACGAAUGGUGUAACCAUGGCCACGCUGUCUCCACCCGAGACUCAGUGAAAUUGAAAUCGCAGUGAAGAUGCUGUGUACCCGCACCUAGACGGAAAGACCCCGUGAACCUUUACUACAGCUUGGCACUGAACAUUGAACCUACAUGUGUAGGAUAGGUGGGAGGCUUUGAAGCACAGUCGCUAGAUUGUGUGGAGCCGUCCUUGAAAUACCACCCUUGUAUGUUUGAUGUUCUAACAUUGGUCCCUAAUCGGGAUUGUGGACAGUGUCUGGUGGGUAGUUUGACUGGGGCGGUCUCCUCCCAAAUAGUAACGGAGGAGCACGAAGGUUAGCUAAUCACGGUCGGACAUCGUGAGGUUAGUGCAAUGGCAUAAGCUAGCUUAACUGCGAGACAGACACGUCGAGCAGGUACGAAAGUAGGUCAUAGUGAUCCGGUGGUUCUGUAUGGAAGGGCCAUCGCUCAACGGAUAAAAGGUACUCCGGGGAUAACAGGCUGAUACCGCCCAAGAGUUCAUAUCGACGGCGGUGUUUGGCACCUCGAUGUCGGCUCAUCACAUCCUGGGGCUGAAGUCGGUCCCAAGGGUAUGGCUGUUCGCCAUUUAAAGUGGUACGCGAGCUGGGUUUAGAACGUCGUGAGACAGUUCGGUCCCUAUCUGGUGUGGGCGUUGGAUGAUUGAUGGGAGCUGCUCCUAGUACGAGAGGACCGGAGUGGACGAACCGCUGGUGUUCGGGUUGUCAUGCCAAUGGCAUUGCCCGGUAGCUAUGUUCGGAACGGAUAACCGCUGAAAGCAUCUAAGCGGGAAGCCGGCCCAAAGAUGAGUCAUCCCUGACCUUUAAGGUCUGGAAGGGUUGUUAUAGACGAUGACGUUGAUAGGCAGGGUGUGGAAGCGUUGUAAGGCGUUAAGCUAACCUGUACUAAUUGCCCGAGAGGCUUAACCAU